AACUUAGCAGCUCUCAGCCUCUUUCUGACUCUGACCCUCCUGCCUCCCCUCUUCACUUAUAAGGACCCGUGGGGUUACACUGAGCCCACCCUGAUAAUCCAGGACAGUCUCCUCUCUCAAAUCAAGACAUAGGAAGAGCACA